CACUGUUCCUCCUCCAGUGUCAGGAGCACCGCCUGUUCCAUGGGGCACUGUGCCACCGGGAGCCUGGGGACCACCAGCACCAUAUCCUGGCCCUGCAGGAUCAUACCCCACGCCAGGACCCCAUCCUACUCUGAAUAAUCCUUACCAAGUGCCUUCAGGACCUGCUGGUGCUCCACCAAUGCCUGGUGGCCCCCACUCUUACCAUUAAGUUGACAGUGGAUGAAGAGAUGGCGCAUUGCUUUUUGAAGUACAUGUAUAUGCACGAGAAAGCAUAUAUAAUGGCUGGUUUCGCUGUUGGUUGAGGGCAUUUUUGAAAGAACUUUGCACCUCAGUUCCUGCUUCAUGUGUUUGGAUAUGUAGAACAUCACGUGGGUACAAUCAGAUAAAAUGUAGAAGUGAAUUAUUCAAGUGUGCUUAAUGUGAUUAUGUGUAUUGAGUAAUAUUUGAUAAUAUUUGUUUAAAGCAUAGUUAUGCCCUCAAAAUCUAAAAUAACAUGGAUUAUUGUUAGAUUCUACAACUCAAUUGACAACAUCAAGUACUUUUUAUAAUCACACCACCACCACCACACCCCAUAGAACUAAGAAUCACUUAAUUGAAACAUGACUCCUCAACUCAUUUUGAGCUCCUCCUACCUACACAAACCUGGCCCUCUUACUAUAUUUAUCUACAUAGCUGUGAGUGUGUGUGUGUGUGUGUGUGUGUGUGUGUUUACUAAGUUUAAUUCAACCAUUUUAUCCAGUUCUCCCCAAAUAACAUAAAGUUCCUAGCAGAAUUGCAUCAUGAUCUAAGGACAGAUUGUGCUCUGACGGAGCUCUGGAAGAAUGUUUGACACCAAGUGCACCUAAGAGUUAAGGCUUGCUGUGGUACUUGGACUGCCCAUGUUGCGUCCAGUCUCGGGAAGAAAUAAGGAAAAUGGGCGAGAUGAGUAAGGCGGUGCUGCUGAUCUGUCACUGCUUUGGUCCUCGGCCCACCAAGCCAUCAGAGUAGCAGGACCAGCACGCAGAUGUCACAUGCCUUUUUAGCAAUGUAAUUUGGAAUUAACAAAUCAUUGUUUCCUUAAGAAAACAGUUACAAAAGGUGGUUCAUGUCUUUCAUUGCAUUAUUUUGUUAUAAGUUAAGUUACUGGCUGGGCUAAAUAAAGCAUACAUCAUUUAUGACAUUUUUUUAAGUGGGAAAAGUGCUCUGAAUUUCAGAGGACAUUCUCACAAUGACUGAACCACAACCCAUUUGAGUUAUUGCAGAAUUAUACACACUUGUAGUGUUUCUUGGCUUAAGCAUACACGAGAACUGAAGGAGAAAGCUCUUUGGUUGACAAAGCCAUGGAUGGGUCAGAGCCCUUCCUAAAUCAGACCAAGUGUAGGAAGCAGAGCUUGGCAGGCGGCCCCUGCAGCACUUACACAUUUAGAUCAAUGUGAGGGAUUGCAGGCUUGUUAAUGAGGACAUUUCUGGCACCUCCUGUGGUUUCUAUACAGCUCUCUCGGAAGCAGCUAGACCCAUGUGCAUGACAAACCCUCUCCACCGGACUUACUGGGUUAAAGGAGAUCCUGAAUUUAUUCUUGCUGUGUUUGGGACGUUUUAAUGAAGUCAUAACCCCAGCGGGGCUGGCUCUUGGUUGUGCACUGUGGGGGUGGGCUCUGGCAGUGUGGUGUAGUCUGCGGCUCUGCACUCCUCUCACCCUGCCACUCUGGGGGUGAGGGGUGUCCAGCAGUCGGUCAGAUCUAGAGUCUUCACUCUCACAGCAGAGUGUGGUUCUUGAGCUUGUUUGGGUGUGCAGGGUUAUGUUGUCAGUGACUGGUGACCCAAAACUAUUGCUGACCUUCCUAUAACGUGGGUUAAAACAGAUUAAGCCGUGAAACUUGGUUUGAGUAUAUUUGAUGCCAACAUUUUUUCCUAGAACUCUGUCAUAGCAAGAAAUCUAUCCUAGGAGCUCAAUGGUUUUGAGAGAAAUAUUUCAUUGUUUUGGCAGAACUAGGUACAAUGGUUAAAUUAAACUUACUAAUACAAGUAUGUCACUAAAAUAUAAAAAGAGGCCCCAGCUGUCUAGGUGGAGGCUAUGCCCUCUAGGGUAUGUGUGGGGUUCUUCCCCUGGUUUCUGUGUUGGAUGCCAUCCUAUUAGGCUUUGCUGAGGUAACAACUUCUUUUGGACUCCCACAAAGAUUUCAGAUUCUCCUCUGGGAGCUUCUUGGAUAUUGGAGCCAGCCUGAACAUCGGAACCCUGGAACAUAUUAUCACUGCUCUGCCUACCUACAUAACUUUAAGCCAAUAAUUAUCAGUUGCCAAGUUCAUCAGUCAGUAUUGGGUUUUGUUGUUCUUUGUAGAGUCAUUGGUGUUCUUGUUAGUAAAACUUAACAACCCACCCUGUGUGGUGUACUCUGGACGGUACUUCAGUUAAACCCUUGUUUUUUAGGACUUUACAACUGAAUAAUUGGGAGUUAUUGGGUUUAUUAUUAUUUAAUGUAAGAGUGGAAAUCAAAGGGAUAGCAGGUUUUCUUGUUUUAUUUGUUUCCAGGACAUGUCUCUUGUUGCCUUAAGGGUAGGGUGUUUCUGGGUUCAGGGAAGAAUCAAGAAAAGCUAAAAUAAAAUGAAUAGACGAUAGCCAAAUGAGGAAAAUAAUCUGUAAAGAAUUUUCUGUUUUUGUUUUAACCUAAGAAUAAUCCUGCUUUCAGAACAAACAAUGUAAGCCAUGUCCAGUCUACUGAAAAGAGAUUGUCAAUAAUUAUUUGGUCUUAAAGGAAUCCAAAUUAUAGAAUUUAUGUUGACAUGGCCUCAAAAUAAUUCUUAAAUAAAUGCAAUAGAUAGUUGAGAUGUAUAUGAAGAUAGUUUUUGUGAAGUUGAAGUCUUUGGUUUUGCAAUGUUCAGUUCUUUACAAAGUCUCCCUCGCGUGUUUGUUAGUCUUGCUCUCUGUCAGCAGUGGUUAGCAGUCCGUUUCUCUUGACACACCUCACCUAGACAGCGUUUGGAAGCUGUGGGUUGGAGAUAGCCCCACUGUUUCUGUAAGAUACUGCCUCAUUUUCAGUGGUUGCCUACACUUAUCAACUAGUGCCAUGUAUUCCUCCUCAAAUGCCAAGAUUACAAACUCUGGAAGUUUCACAGGCCUUUAAGUCCUUCCAGUGUUCAGAGAAGCAUACGCCUGAGUACACCAGCUGCUGGGGAGCAGCGGAUGCUUUCAGGGAAAGCCCAUUUUACUUUCAGAAUUGUGCCAACUGAAACAACAAUGGAUGAUGGCAACUGAGACUGAGAUUUCAUGCUUGCUUCUGGCUGCAGAGCCCAUCUGAGGACUGAGCUUGUCCCGUGUGCACAUCUGGGAUGGAACUCUGGUCCUUUGCUCAAGGAGCUCCUAUUGAGGCACACCAUUAGCAGCCACCUAGAUGAAAAGUGAUUAGUGAUAGCUCUCAGUGAGGAGAGCAGACCUGUCUUGGGCAUUUUUUAAAAUGUGGCAUUUUGUUUUGGUUUUUUUGAGGUGGGGUCUCACCAUGUAACUCUGGCUAGCCUGAAGCUCUUUAUAUAGUUGAAGAACUCAAACUUCCUUUCUCUGUCUCCCAACUGCUGAGAUUAAAGGCAUAUGGUUGGCUUAAUAAACUGGUUGUGUGUGUAUGUGUGUAAAUGAAUAUCUUUCAUGAGCCAAAUGUGGUGUCGCAUGUCUUUGAUCGCAGCAUUUGGGAGGCAGAGGCAGUCAGAUCUCAAGGCCAGCCUGGUCUUCAGAGAAUUACAGGGCAACCAGGGUUAUACAGGGAAAUGAAGUCUCAAAACAAACAUCAUUCCAAGAUUGUAGUGUUCAUCAGUGCAACUAUUCAAGUGUACAGUGUAGCAGGAUUGUUCCCCGCUCUUCUGGAUCGAGGCCCAGCUGCCACUGGCUGACAGACACUGACGUCAUGAAGUAGACACUACUUUUCAUAUGUGCUCUAUAAGAGGUUUUGUAAUACUUUUUUGAAAUUAUGAUUUUUUCAUUUAUUAAAAAUGUCAAAUUUGAUGUAUUUUACAGUCUAUGCAUUUUAAGUUAAGCUGCCUGAAGUGUGGUUUGAGACAUGUAUGUCUAUACUGUAAGCAAUGGAUGAUACUAGGUUUUGUCACCUGCUGCUGUAUUUGGAAACAAAGACAAAUGUUGCCUGAAGAAGUAAUUAUAAUUAGAAGUAGGCUAUUGAUGUGAUCAUUGAUAUUUUUAAGGUAAACUUGUUUGCUUUUGUGUGUAAUACCUGAAAGCUUUUUUAAGAAAAUGUAUUUUCGUGAUUUCG